CCUACGGGAGGCUGCAGUAGGGAAUAUUGCUCAAUGGGGGAAACCCUGAUGCAGCAACGCCGCGUGGAGGAUGAAGGUUUUCGGAUUGUAAACUCCUUUUGUUAGGGAAGAUACUGACGGUAUCUAACGAAUAAGCACCGGCUAACUCCGUGCCAGCAGCCGCGGUAAUACGGAGGGUGCAAGCAUUACUCGGAAUCACUGGGCGGAAAGAGCGCGUAGGCGGGAUAGCAAGUCAGAUGUGAAAUCCUAUGGCUUAACCAUAGAACUGCAUUUGAAACUGUUAUUCUAGAGUAUGGGAGAGGUAGGUGGAAUUCUUGGUGUAGGGGUAAAAUCCGUAGAGAUCAAGAGGAAUACUCAUUGCGAAGGCGACCUGCUAGAACAUAACUGACGCUGAUGCGCGAAAGCGUGGGGAGCAAACAGGAUUAGAUACCCGGGUAGUC
rnacentral:rRNA from 1 species